rnacentral:lncRNA from 1 species
AUUUUUACAGAAAAGUCCUUGAACUUCAACCCUCCAUAACUUUUUAUCCGUAACUCCAAAUGAGGUGAUUCCAAAGCCUACUUAUUUGUUUCGUUGAGCCCAUUCUGUUGAUCACACUUUCACUAUGUGUUAACAUUUUGAAAAUGAUCAUUAUGCCCUUGCCAUUAAUCAGCCCCCUCCGAGAGAGAACGAUUUCCGGCGAUUAUUUCCGCGAGCUUCUCGCACUUUCUCCUGGUGAUUUCUUCCACCCCAGGCAAGCCACACCCUCCAUUUGCAUCACUAUAAUGCAGUGACAUGGUUUAACUUAUUUGAACUUGUUUAAAAUAUUGUUUUAGCUACUUGUGAUCUGUGCAUGGCAUUUUCUCGAAGUAUUACUUUGAUCUUGCUGUUGCCAUGCCAUUGUUUGGAUUACUAGGAGUUGUGUUUGUAGUUGAUGAGUAUCAUGUUGCCAUUAGAGUAUUAGUGGAUGAUAUUAUGAUUGUUUCAUGAUGGUAUCUGUUAUUUUGGAGUAUUACUUUGGAUGUCAUGCUGCCUUUGGAUUAUUAGUGGUUAGUAUGAUGAUUUUCAUGAUGUUGUUUUGUUGCUUGGAGUAUUAUUUUUGGAGAUGAUGUUUACAUGUGGAUCUUAGUUGGAUAGCUUGUUCUUACAUAUUGGAGUAGUAGUAUUGCUGUUGUCAGAUUCAUCAUGAUAGUAGUGUUGUGCUACCCUUGGAGUAUUUUGAGAUGACGAUAUUAUGCUUGGAUUAUUUGUUGGAUAUUGCUAUGACUUGGAUUAUAGUCCGAUAGUUGAUAUCGGAGUAUCAGUUAGCACAAUUAUAUUUUUGGGGUUAAAUUCCGUCAUUAAGUUGGUCAGGUGACGCCAAACCGGGCUUUUCCAGUGCAACCACAUUUGCCGAUAUGGGACGGCCCUAAUGCGAUGCUAUUGUCGUGCCUCUCGCCGGUGCCUCCAACGAGGGAAGGUUAUGGGCGUGCGCUACCCUAAUCAGGUAGGAGGACAUAAGCCUUGUGUGCCCGUAGUUGGAUUUUGCAUGCGGGUCCCCGUGUGGGAUCGUGGCCAGGACGGUGGUCAUUGUGUCUUUGGUAGACAUGGGGCCACCCAUGACUUAGCCCAGAGGGAAGUGAGUCGGAGUGGUCGGGAGAGUGUCAUGGCAGUAGGUCGGUUUUAUCAGAACGCCGUUGGUCCACCCGAAUGGGAGUGCGAGGCCAUGGGUUCCGUGGUGUGGGUACAGUGCACUACCUCUGCAGAGUGUGUGUUUAAUCUAUCAAUAGUCGCGUCCUCGGUCAUGGGCAUGGGUUCGUACUAGGUCACACCGUUCGAUCAACACUCACAUGACAGAAUGACUUAUAGGUGAUUGAUAUGUUGAUGAUGUUGAGACCAAGUGUUGGUCGUGGUAGUGAUCGCCGUAAGGAUCACGGGCCAAAUAUUGGUCGUGGUAGUGAUCGCUGUAAGGAUGACGGGCCAAAUAUUGGUCGUGGUUGUGAUCGCCGUAAGGAUCACGGGCCAAAUAUUUUUCGUGGUUGUGAUCGCCGUAUGGAUCAUGGGCCAAAUAUUGGUCAUGGUAGUGAUCGUAGUAAGGAUCACGGGCCAAACAUUGGUCGUGGUUGGGAUCGCCGUAGGGAUCACAGUUUCAUGGUAGUUAUCGCCGGAAAGAUCACCUUUUGGUCUUGAUCACGAGGUGAUCGAGAUGGUAUAUUGCUUGGUCGGUUAGCCAGGAGAGAUAUGGUUAUGGAGAUCUGAGAUGGUGAUUUAUCAGUAUUGUAGUAGUUUCAUAUCAUGCUUAGUAGUAGCUACUGUAUCAUGGUAGCUGUUAAUUUAAUCAACCUGCUUAAUGCUAUGUUGUUGUCUUGCCUUGAUGUUUUUGGUUGUUGUGAGCUUGCAGGUACAUUCAAUGUACUGACCUGGCGUGUCAUGCCAGAUUGCUGGUGAUGCCGUGAUUGCUUGAUUGCUUGUCGUUGUUUCCGUUCGUGCGAGCUAGAUCGUGUCCCAGCCAGAGUCCCUGUAGAGUGGAGUUCACCACCUUCAUCGUUGUUCCGCUGCUAGAAGAUUUCUGCUGGUUCGAGUUGUUCCGCUGCUAGCAUAGAGCAAGUGUAGUAUUGCAGGCGUAGUGUCGCCGUGCUGAUGUGCUUCUUUGUAACAUCAGACCUUUGUAUUUAUUCUUGUAAUAAGAGCUGAUUUGUUCUAUGUCAAGCAGCCGUAUUCCAGAAGACUUCUCCUCGAUCUCUGGGCUGGAAUACGGGGCAUUCCGGUUUCUCUGAGCCGGAGUGCCACAUCGCUUGGUAUCAGAGUAGGUCUAGCUGUAGGACGCCCUAGUCAGCGCGAGCGGUAGAAACCGGUAGAAAUCAGUAGUAUAGAGUCUGGCUUGUUUGUUGGAUUUGGUUGCUGCAUUUGUUUGUUGCAUAGCAUGCAUAUAGCCUUAGUAUUUGUACUAAUGGUUUAUCUGGUGAGUGUAGCUGGCAUCGGUUCAGAUCCACUACAGCUCAACCUUUGCAUUUCUCCAGUUCCUUUUUCUUUUGGUGUUUGGUGUCAUUUCUGUCCCUGCUGAGUGAUGCCAAGUGAUCCCGACACUGUUUGCAAAAAUGGUGCUCAGGUAUCGCAUCGAUGUCUUUCUUUCAGUUCCGUCUAUCAUUCCAGUGAUGGACAUGCUUCUAUCCUAGAUCGUUCUUUUAUUUUGUCAUGUUGGCAACCCUUAAUGAUCUUAGUUAUCAAGAAAGGGCAAUGUCAGUAGCCUCAGUUUUUCCCCGCUAUCCUCAUUUCUUGGACGAGUACGGAUCUUUUUCCGUCCGCUUGAUAAUAAUGUGGUUGCGACCUUUGUGUCCCACUAAAUGAUUACCGAGUACGUCCUCACCUCCUAGCUAGUUCAGGUUGCCACCUGGCUAAGCUAGCACUUGGUGUAGCACUGUUUACACCAACUCUUCCACACAUUUAUUCGUCCACGUGUACAUUGUCACAGCAUGCUAGAUCGUAGAACCGGAGAUCCUGCGAGAUUUGUGUGCUUAAGUAGGCAUGCAUAUUGUGUGACUAGCAGUAAUAUGUGACAUUGAUUGUGUGUGAAUUGAUUGUUGUUGUGUGUUUUUGUUUAGUUGAGUUUUCUUUUCCCCUUUCUUUUUGGGCCCCGGUGUUACAUUAUUUUUCCCCUAUAAAGAAUUGCUCAACCACCGACACCGGACUCAAACAAGCAAUAAUGAUUUGAAAUAUUUGGAAGAAGCUCAGCUAGACAUUAUUGUCUACACAAUCAACUGCAUUAUGGGAUUAAAAUCUGCUCAGAAUACCAAUGGUGUAUUGAAUUGAUUAUCAGCAUCAAGUCCCCAUCAGUACCAAAUCCUCACAACAUUUAUGAUCCAGCCAGCAGAAAGACCAGUCAGUUGCAAGACCAACGGUAUAUUUUCAGACAGAGGUAUGGAUCCUAUAUAAAGUUUGGCUCAGCAAUGCAUGAUGCUUGAAAUAUGUUAUCAUCUGCAAUAAAGUCAGAAUGUGAUAUGCUCAAGGAAGACAGUCAAACCAUUUUUCUCAUGCAAAUAAUCAGCCUCAGAAUAUUAUGGGCAUGUGUAUGGAUUUCAGUUUGCAUAUCAGUAUGAAGUUUUGGAUAUAAGAAACUCAGUCUUCUUCCACACACUAUCGGAAGAAAUUUAUGAGGCAAGGCUCCUCAAUUUUUCCUCAGCAUGAUACGUGAACAAUUUCCGACCCACGAUACCCAGUCUUUCUCAGCAAGAUACCUCGAUAAAAGCUUCUGAUAGACGGAAAUGAAAUUUUCUCAACAAGCAAACCUGAGGAGAAGCUUCUCACGUACGGAACUCAGGCUUCUCCAGCACAAUAAACAGACCAAGCUUCGUGUGUAAGCUAUAGAGCCUUCUUCUGCAUGAUACCCAAAUAUAAGAUUUGAGUAGAAGUUAACAAGUCUUCCUUAGCAAGCUACUCAGAUGGCUUCUCUCGUAAGCCACCCAGUCUGCAUCGAUGCCACAAUAUUGCAUCGUCCUCAGAGAUUAUAUGAAGAGUUGUCAAUAUAUGGAAGUACCGCUCAAGGACCAGACUUGCAAUAAUUUUGUCAGAGAUAAAAUUCAGUCAAACCAUAUGCCUACCGCAAGGAUUGAGUGUGCGGUGGCAUAUCCUUCUUGUAUAUGAUGAGCAUGCAUCCUCAGUCAUAUCAGUCACUCAUACGAGAUGCAUCAAGGAUCAAGCAGAUAUACCUAAGAAAAGUAAGGAUUCAACAACCUACCCAGUCAGGCAAAAGAAAAUAAGCAGAAAUACAUCUCCUGAAUUGGAAGGAUCGACAAGAUCUGGAGAUGACAUCACAGAAUCCACAGUCUUGACAUUGGUCAUCAAGGUCAUUAUUCCCGCAACUGACAAGGAGAUGUUAUAAAACCUUGUCACCUUCUUAUGAUUGGCCUCAGCAAUGAGCUCCGUACAGCUACAAACCUCGGAUAUAUGUCAUACGUGUGUGGACUCAGAUCAGAAAACGAGCACAAGGAAUAAUGUCAAAAAUAUUAAUCACGUCCAUGGUCAUACGAAGAAUCAAGGAUAUGUGUGGCCAAGUUAUUUCAGUAAGGUAUCCUGACAAAGAAAAUCAUGACCGUAAAAAGAUGAGACUGACAGCAAAGUAUGAUGAUUUUUGCACGACCAUCAAGGUCCGGAUCCCCAAAUCAGUCGGAGGCCAUAAUUCCAUAUGGAUCCACAAAGGCAUACUCUCAGCGACCUACUCUAUUUACAAGGAUUUUUCAUAUCCCGCUGACCCGCUUGACAUGGUUAGUGUGGAAUAUCCAAGUCUGUUCUGACAGAUUUAAGAUUCCUUUGCAACCUCAGCAGUCUGACUUCAGCGGCAGUGUUAAAGCAUAGCAUAGCCUAUUACCACAAAUAGCUAUACCAACAAAAUGAGAAAAAUCAAAAGCCGAACAAUCAGCUCAGACCUGGUAUACUCACCGAAGAAAUCAAGUACAUGGCCAGUCUGUCAGGAAAAGCAUUUGUCCGUCAGCCACCUGUCGGGCCAAUCUCAAGAUGGGAAUAAUUGAGGUAUGACACAGCUAUAACUCCAUACACCAUUAUAUUGCUCACGACACAAGGCAGUCAAAUCUUUCUCAUGCUCGAGCCAAGGAAAUAAAUCAAGAUAAAUCAGUGCCACCUGUGAGCAGUCAGAUCCCGUCAGAAGAUGUCCAUGAUAAUUCUCAGCAUUUAUUGAGACCAGAAGGCCUGCUUUUAUUUGAAACAACCCCAUGGCAGAAGUAAAAAGGUUUCAUGACCAAAGGAAAAUUUAUACUCAGAUCCAUUGGAUAUCACCGCAGAUAUGAGAAAAUUCACGGCAGGAAAAGGAUUUGGUAUGUGAUCAAAAACCCGUCAGAAUUUGGGCAAAGGUGAAGCAAGACCACCCCAGAGCAAGGUAAGUUGAUCAUCUGAAAUUAUUGGGGGAACAAUAAAUAAAGGAAAAAGGACACCCGAGUUGGAAACGGUGUCCUCAAGUCAUACUUGUUCCCUGAGCAAUCGAAUCUCGAGGAUGAGAUUUCUUUAAGGGGGUAAGAGUUGUAACAGCCUGGAUUUUGGCCCUUUUCUUUUUCUUUUGAUUUAUUUGGUUUUUGCUCUGUUUUUCUUUUUGGAGUGGUUCUGGGCCUUGCCACCUGGGAAAUCAUCCUCAUUUCCUCUCCCAAGUGGCUCAUCAUUCUCAAAACCUUGCCAAGAUCAUGUCACUUCACUCCUUGACCAAACCCUAAACUCUUUUUCUCGGGAAUAUUCCUUUUUCAUUAAAGGAAUAACCCUAUCUGCCCUAGGUUGUGAAGCAACCUAUAUUUCUGUCCAUCCAAAAAAUCCCCAAAUAAUUCUCAUAAUUCCUUUGGAUCAUAUAUAGCUCAAAUAUGCCCAAACAUUGCCUUGGCCAGUUCAAAAACAAUUCCCCAAUAUUCCUUUUUCUAUUCUGCCCUAAAUGGCACUUUGUGAAGGAAGUGUCAUUUAUGUUUCUCCUAGUGCCUCCCAACCUUUUUGGGCAUGAUUAUAUGUCCAAAUAAUUGCCCCAUGAACAAGUUCAAAUUUAUUUGCCUAGCCAAUCUUCCUCAGUGAAUUUUCAAAGUUUCUGUCAGACAGAAGGCUUUGUGAAGGAAGUACUAGCUAGGAGUCCCCAAAUGAGUUGAACUUUUGCACACUCCUUAAUGUGCUCAUAUUAAACCCCUACACCCAUUUUCAGCCCCAUCCAAUCAUCUAUGUGAGCACAGGAGCAAAUCUUUGAUUCUGGCAUUAUUUUCAGGUUGUGAAGCAAGUGUAAUUUAUAUUGCUUCAAAAAUCCUGAUAAAUUACCACAUAAUUCUUAUACCCAUACAACAUCUCUCCACCAAAUUUGGCAUCAUUUCAAUGAGCCAUUUGAUCACCAAAAUACUCCAAGAUUCUGGACAGAAAUGAUGUUUGUGAAGAAAGUGCUAUUUUGGCUUGUCCAUUUGGCAUGAACUUUUUAAAUCAUCUUUAUAUGUCCAUAUCAUGAGGAUUUUCCAAGUUGCAUCCCAUUCCAUAACUCCAUGUCAGUGCACCAUCAUGAUCUAGUUUCUGGACCAUUUUGGUCAGUUGUGAAGCAACUGCAGUAAAUCUUGGUCCAUUUCUUCCCAAACUCCCCAGGGAUGUAGUCCUUCCUAGCCUAAACACCCAAGACAUAACACUUGACACAUAGCAUCUCCCUGUUGAUCACAUUGAGCUGAUAAAGUUUACUGCAGUAAACUUCAGAGCUCACGAACCUUUUAACCAUAGUCAUUUUCACCAAACUACCACCGCAGUUGAAACCACCCUGGGAAGGACUCCACAGCUGACAAUGUUUGGCUCUUAGUAGGAAGCCAGAGCGCGUGCUAUCGGUGGUGACCACGGGAGAUGCCGGCCAAAACGGUGGUCUCGCCACUGUUGGCAACAGCAGCGCCACUCCGACUGGUUCUGGCUUGUCCCCAAGUGUCAAACAGCUCAGCCUCGUCGUCCUCUUCACUCUGGACCCCUCUCCCCCUCCGGCAGCUUCCUUGCCGACGCUCGUCGACGAUCGCCCACGGGUGCACUGUGCUCCGUUUGGAUCCAAGCUCGUUUCGGCCUCUUCCUCUGCCCCUCCGUUGGCCGUCUCUUCCGUGUGAGCUCUCCCCUAUGCCCUCCCUGUUGUUUGCCCCCGAGUUCAUGCACGCGCACACGCGUCCGCGGCGCCGGCCACGCGUCCGCGGUGACGCCAGCGCGGCAGCUCCUCCUCGUGGCUAUUUAAGCCCUCCUCGCGCCUCUCCGAGCUCACCACUCGCCUCACCCACCUCCCUGUGCCACGCCUAGCUACUCCUCCGAGCUCGAGGAGCUCUCGGCGACCACCAUUGCCGCCAUGGCCGCCGGCCAUGCUCGGCUAAAUUCUCUCAAUGCCGAGCUCCUUCCUCUCUCUCUCCUCCACCAUAGACCUCCUGCACCGCCCCUGAUACUUCCCAGUACCGCGCCUCCAUCUUUCUGUGGCUGGAGCGCCGGGUCCCAACUCCGGCCGAAGCCUCUUUCCAUCACGACCAUGGCCCUGCCCUCCCUAGCACUCUCUGGCAGAAGGGGGUGGUCCAGGCAGGAGCUCCUCGUCCUCGUGGUCGCUCCGGUGGUCUGAGCUCCACCGGAGGUGACCGGAGUCGACCUGGCGAGCACCAGCACCGACGACCUCCCUCUGCUCCACGGGCGCGUCGGGAGAGAAGGACAGGCCAGGAGGAGGGCAUUGACCUCGCGUGGGUCCCGCAGGCCCCGCGUGUCAGCCACACAUGCAUCAGCCCCACCCCUGCCACGUGGAUAAGUGGCGGACCCACCAGUAAGCCACACGUGUUGACCAGCCCCGCCACGUCAGAUAAGUGAAAGCACAUUUCUGUUUUACAUUUUCGCUAACCAAAAGCGUAUUUCUAACUUUACGUUUCUGCCUUAUCCACUCAGGGACUUGUUUGUGAUGAAAUUUUUACAAAAAAGUCACUGAACUUCAACCCUCCAUAACUUUUUAUUCGUAACUCCAAAUGAGGUGAUUCCAAUGCCUACUUCUUUGUUUCGUCAAGCCUGUUCUGUUGAUCACACUUACACUAUGUGUUAACAUUUUGAAAAUGAUCAAUAUGCCCUUGCCCUUAAUCAGUCCCCUCCGAGAGAGAACGAUUUCCGGCGAUUAUUUUUGUGAGCUUCUCGCACUUUCUCCCGGUGAUUUCUUCCACCCCAGGCAAGCCACACCCUCCAUUUGCAUCACUGUAAUGCAGUGACAUGGUUUAACUUAUUUGAACUUCUUUAAAAUAUUGUUUUAGCUACUUGUGAUUUGUGCAUGGCAUUUUCUUAGAGUAUUAUUUUGAUCUUGCUGUUGCCAUGCCAUUGUUUGGAUUACUAGGAGUUAUGUUUGUAGUUGAUGAGUAUCAUGUUGCCAUUGGAGUAUUAGUGGUUGAUAUAAUGAUUGUUUCAUGAUGGUAUCUGUUAUUUUGGAGUAUUACUUUGGAUGUCAUGCUGCCUUUGGAUUAUUAGUGGUUAGUAUGAUGAUUUUCAUGAUGUUGUUCUGUUGCUUAGAGUAUUAUUUUCGGAGAUGAUGUUUACAUGUGGAUCUUAGUUGGAUAGCUUGUUCUUGCAUAUUGGAGUAGUAGUAUUACUGUUGUCAGAUUCAUCAUGAUAGUAGUGUUGUGCUACCCUUGGAGUAUUUUGAGAUGACGAUAUUAUGCUUGGAUUAUUU